rnacentral:sRNA from 1 species
CACGAAGGAACGCAGACUAAGAACGCCACGUCCUGUGGCAACGUCUACAUGACCCGCAUCCUGUGGG